GACGGGUGAGUAAUGUCUGGGAAACUGCCUGAUGGAGGGGGAUAACUACUGGAAACGGUAGCUAAUACCGCAUAACGUCGCAAGACCAAAGAGGGGGACCGUUCGGGCCUCUUGCCAUCAGAUGUGCCCAGAUGGGAUUAGCUAGUAGGUGGGGUAACGGCUCACCUAGGCGACGAUCCCUAGCUGGUCUGAGAGGAUGACCAGCCACACUGGAACUGAGACACGGUCCAGACUCCUACGGGAGGCAGCAUG
rnacentral:rRNA from 1 species